AAGAAGUUCCAUCGCCUUGUCUAGUACAUAAGCUUUAAGUUUCACCUUUCGACCUAACAGUGUGAAGAAGUUCUUUUACCUUCAAGUUGCACUGGGGACUUGAUUCAUACAACAUACGUUGACAUCAGGCUACCAUUGCUAGUUCUUGUUUCGAGAGAGAAGCGGCCUAUUUACGAUUCAAUACACAUCCAUGGAGAAUCUGCACUGGCGAAAUCUUGGUCUGCUUCACUCGUUAGAGGUGACCUUAAACUAAACUAUGUGACUAGUUUUCCGUUGAGAAGUGAAGAAAGCAGCUGUCGAAGUGCAACUCAAGAAAAUGGAGGAGGAACUAGAGAAGAAGAAAGCAGGAGUAUGCAGAGAGGAUGAAUUAGGUUUCAGUGACUCACAAGGAAGCAGAAGAAAGAAGUGCAAUGAUUGAAGGUAAGCGUGGAGAAGCAAGAAGAAACGGCUGCUAAAAUACUGGGCCAUUAGAAUUGUUCCAAAGGCAACUUGUGGAUGUUUCCAAUCUUGAGUUUACAAAUCAUUUUUUCAGGAUUUUUUAACUGUAAAUUUCUCUCUUCUCUUCAAUGGCUUGUAAUGUUUUUUGUAUAUUGAUUUUGUCUGUGAGAAACAAACAAGAGUUCAUUUUCAU